GCAUCAAUGGGGUAGUGGUAACCUGGGUCGUUGCCAUAUCGCAUGUGCUAGACCAGUUUCUCGACCCGCCGGGGGUUCGAUUCCCUCUUGAUGCA
rfam:Leucoagaricus sp. SymC.cos contig13646, whole genome shotgun sequence.